AAGAAAAAUAUUCUGGGAAAAUAAUCAUUUUCAGAGUCAUGGCCUAAAAAGGUAGAAUGAUGUGUCUAAAUUAGACCUUAUCAGUUAUUCAGAAGUAGUUUUCUCGGGGUUUAUGGCAUGUCCCAUGUCAGAAACUGGCCUCCCAAAACCGUGUGUUGUCUCUAUGCUCAGAGUUCAGGCCUCCAUUGAUGUCCUCCUGGGGAGGUGACAGGGCUUGUGUUGUCUAAGUGGGGAAAGUGUAUCUGAAAAGCAACUCUGUUGGAUUUAGGCAAAAUGAACAAAAUGCCACCAGGAUGUAGCCAUGAUGCAAAGAGAAGGGCUAAAAAUAAGCCAUGCUCUCAAUAAAUCCAUUCAUCUUUGAGAAGAAUUCAGAAUAGACUUAGUGUCUUGCUCCUCUUCCAUCUACAGAGGAGCGUGACUGUUUGGGUCCUAUGGAAUUUGCACCCGGAGUCUGAGCACAUGCCAUCCGCCUCCCCACUGGUGUGCACCUGGCGAUGGCUACUGGUCCAACUUCUCAGCUACCUCCUGGCUAAGCUUUCCCCUGACCCUAGCUUCUCCCAGCCAUAAAGAAGGUCUGUGAACAACGAGCAACCCACAUCACACAGUGGCGUGUGAAGACCAGUUGUUUGGGGAGAGGGAUCAUGCUUGAGAAGCUUGGCACUGAGGUGCGUUGGGUGGAAAGGGGCUGAGUAGAUGUCAGUGGUGGGAGAGAACACUUCUGGACUCACUCAUGACUCAGCCUGGCUCAGUCCUGGCACAUGUCAGCACUGGGUUUAUCCCUACCUUUAAAGGCUUUAAACAUUCAAAGCGUUGGGCCCAUCCUUGACUUUAAUAUGUUUAAUUACUUAAUAACCUUGUGUAUGUUUUGCCACUGCCCUAAAUACCAAGUGUGCUGUGUAGAGACACAUUCUCCUUGAUGCAAGACAGCCUGAGACCACGUGAGAUGUGCCAUCAGACCUCCCAUGAAUGCCCUUUCUUUAAAGUCAGAUCAUCUUGAAAAAACUGAAAGGUCAGCCGGGCGUGGUGGCUCACGCCUACAAUCCCAGCACUUUGGGAGGCCAAGGAGGGCAGAUCACCUGAGGUCAGGAGUUCGAGACCAGCCUGGCCAACGUGGUGAAACACUGUCUCUACUAAAAAAACAAAAAUUAGCCAGACGUGGUGGCACACACCUGUAAUCCCAGCUACUUGGGAGGCUGAGGCAGGAGAAUCGCUUGAAUCUGGGAGGCAGAGGUUGCAGUGAG
rnacentral:lncRNA from 1 species